rnacentral:rRNA from 1 species
CGAAAACUUGGCAAUGCGAGAAAUCGUGACCAGGGAACUCCAAGUGCAUCGGGUAAGACCGAUGCUUUUCUUGACUCUUCAAAGGUCUUGGAAUAAGGGGUGGGUAAGGACGGUGCCAGCCGCCGCGGUAAUACCGGCGCCUCAAGUGGUAGUCGCUUUUAUUGGGCCUAAAACGUCCGUAGCCGGUUUGGUACAUUCGUGGGUAAAUCAAGGCGCUCAACGUCUUGAAUUCUGCGAGCACGGCCAGACUUGGGACCGGGUGAGGUGUGGGGUACUCUCAGGGUAGGGGUAAAAUCCUGUCAUCCUGAGAGGACCACCUGUUGCGAAGGCGCCACACUAGAACGGAUCCGACGGUCAGGGACGAAGCCUAGGGGCACGAACCGGAUUAGAUACCCGGGUAGUCCUAGGUGUAAACGCUGUGGACUUGAUGUUGGGAGUGCUCCGAGCACCCUCAGUGUCGAAGCGAAGGUGAUAAGUCCACUGCCUGGGGAGUACGGUCGCAAGGCUGAAACUUAAAGGAAUUGGCGGGGGAGCACUGCAACCUGAGGAUUGUGCGGUUU